rnacentral:rRNA from 1 species
UACAGGGGGGGCAAGCGUUGUUCGGAAUUACUGGGCGUAAAGGGCGCGCAGGCGGUCGUUCAAGUCGAGUGUGAAAGCCCCCGGCUCAACUGGGGAGGGUCACUCGAUACUGAUCGACUCGAAGGCAGGAGAGGGAAGUGGAAUUCCCGGUGUAGUGGUGAAAUGCGUAGAUAUCGGGAGGAACACCAGUGGCGAAGGCGGCUUCUUGGGCCAUUUCUGACGCUGAGGCGCGAAAGCUAGGGGAGCGAACGGG